UCUUCCGGGCCUUUGUGUCUUGGAAUGCGACUGUCCCGAGCGUGCCGCCACCACCGCCUGCUUGGAAAGCCCACCAGUACUGAAAUCCCCGGCUGGACUUGGUUUCACCUUUUGGGGGUCCCUCGCCUUUUCUCUCUUUCUUUUAAUUGUUUUUUUCUUUUACACGUAUCUGGUUGAUUUCGCUCCCGAAGCCUGGGAAUAAAGGAACCGCAAGCAUCCAUCCUCGCUGGGGCGUCUCUGUCCCUCACCCCGAGGCCUGCACCUCCCUCCUAGCGAUUAUUUUUGACGCCCGCCCUCCUGAGCCUCCUGAGCCUGCUGCCAGAGAGAGGGCCCAUCUCCAACUGCCGCUCACGAUUUAUUUACACCUCGCAGAGAGACUGUACAAAGGAACUGCCGCGAUCUCCCCACCCUUCAGGCGCAUUUCUGGACUGAGAACACCUCCACGCACGCAGAUGCACGCUCCGAAGCCCCGGCGACCGCCUGCCCGCGGCGCGCUCCUUGAGCUGCUCGCUCCUCUUACCCUGCCGCUGAUUCUGCACCGCCUGUCCCGCCGCCGCCCGCAGGACUUUGGGGUGGGACUCUGACUUCUACCGGCUGUUUGCCCCCCGGUUUGUAGCCCAUCCCUCUCUCUCAUGCGUGCCCUCUCCACCUCUCCCUCCCAACCAGUGAGGUCCUGUUCUCCGUGGACCAUAGACAAAACAUUCCUAUAAUCCGAUUUCAAAGGAAAGAGUGUCCACCUUAUUUAAACCAUAAAACAAUUAAGCCCAGACGUCUAGCCAGCUCCGCGCUGCUGUUUUGUUCGGCCCCAUUCAGAAUCCAGAGCAGGGAGACAAACAGCACCAUAAAAGUGGCAUUUCGGGGCUGCGGAAAUGUACCUAUCCGCUGCCUUCCCAAGUGGAACAACCUUUGGGGUUUUGUGAUUCUGACAAAGGAGCAGAGGUGGGAGGGGAAGAUUAGGGAGGGAGGGCGU